rnacentral:rRNA from 1 species
GAUGAACGCUGGCGGCGUGCCUAAUACAUGCAAGUCGAGCGAACAGACGAGGAGCUUGCUCCUCUGACGUUAGCGGCGGACGGGUGAGUAACACGUGGAUAACCUACCUAUAAGACUGGGAUAACUUCGGGAAACCGGAGCUAAUACCGGAUAAUAUAUUGAACCGCAUGGUUCAAUAGUGAAAGACGGUUUUGCUGUCACUUAUAGAUGGAUCCGCGCCGCAUUAGCUAGUUGGUAAGGUAACAGCUUACCAAGGCAACGAUGCGUAGCCGACCUGAGAGGGUGAUCGGCCACACUGGAACUGAGACACGGUCCAGACUCCUACGGGAGGCAGCAGUAGGGAAUCUUCCGCAAUGGGCGAAAGCCUGACGGAGCAACGCCGCGUGAGUGAUGAAGGUCUUCGGAUCGUAAAACUCUGUUAUUAGGGAAGAACAAAUGUGUAAGUAACUAUGCAUGUCUUGACGGUACCUAAUCAGAAAGCCACGGCUAACUACGUG